rnacentral:rRNA from 1 species
CCUACGGGAGGCAGCAGUGGGGAAUAUUGCACAAUGGGGGAAACCCUGAUGCAGCGACGCCGCGUGAGUGAAGAAGUAAUUCGUUAUGUAAAGCUCUAUCAGCAGGGAAGAAAAUGACGGUACCUGAGUAAGAAGCCCCGGCUAACUACGUGCCAGCAGCCGCGGUACUACGUAGGGGGCAAGCGUUAUCCGGAUUUACUGGGUGUAAAGGGAGCGUAGACGGCAGUGCAAGUCUGGAGUGAAAGGCGGGGGCUCAACCCCAGGACUGCAGUGGAAACUGGACGGCUGGAGUGCAGGAGAGGUAAGUGGAAUUCCUGGUGUAGCGGUGAAAUGCGUAGAUAUCAGGAGGAACACCAGUGGCGAAGGCGGCUUACUGGACUGUAACUGACGGUGAGGCUCGAAAGCGUGGGGAGCAAACAGGAUUAGAUACCCGGGUAGUC